UACGUAGGUGACAAGCGUUGUCCGGAUUUACUGGGCGUAAAGAGCGCGCAGGCGGUCGUUCAAGUCGAGUGUGAAAGCCCCCGGCUCAACUGGGGAGGGUCACUCGAUACUGAUCGACUCGAAGGCAGGAGAGGGUAGUGGAAUUCCCGGUGUAGUGGUGAAAUGCGUAGAUAUCUGGAGGAAUACCGGUGGCGAAGGCGGCAUCCUGGACCGGCAUUGACGCUGAGGAGCGAAAGCCAGGGGAGCAAACGGG
rnacentral:rRNA from 1 species